rnacentral:tRNA from 1 species
GGGUCGCUCGAUUGCGGCGCCUCCGGUUCCACCACGACCGUGGUCGGCAUGGCCGGCGGCUGCGGGUUCGAUGCCUGUGCGACCCGC